UGAGGAAUAUUGGUCAAUGGGCGAGAGCCUGAACCAGCCAAGUCGCGUGAAGGAUGACGGCCCUACGGGUUGUAAACUUCUUUUGUCAGGGAGCAAUUGGGUCCACGUGUGGGCUUAGCGAGAGUACCUGAAGAAAAAGCAUCGGCUAACUCCGUGCC
rnacentral:rRNA from 1 species